AAUGUACUCCCUCCGUCCGAAAAUACUUGUCAUCAAAAUGAAUAAAAGGGGAUGUAUCUAGAUGUAUUUUAGUUCUAGAUACAUCCCUUUUUGUCCAUUUUGAUGACAAGUAUUUUCGGACGGAGGGAGUAUUCU
rnacentral:pre_miRNA from 1 species